UCUUCUCUUCUUAAACUCACAACACUAGGACUUUGAAUUGUGAUAGACCUCACAUCUCAGAUAUGCUGCAGCAUAUUUUAUAUUAACAAAAAAAGCAUUUUUUAUAACACCAUUUGCUUCACAUCCUGUUUGUAUUCCCUCUCUUUCAAAGAUGCCGAUUACACACUUAUUUUUUAUUGAGAGUCAGCAAUUAACUAGUCGUCUUGUAUUUUUCCAAUCUUGGUGUCUUGAUUUUUGGGGGGUUUUGAAAUGAAAAUUGGAGAUUCUGGUUGAAUUAGAGCCAAAUUAAGAGCGCCUAUAUGUAUAUAUUUCCAAUUGCACAUCCACACUCGAUGGGGAUCUGAAAUACAGAAGGAGUUGUUGUUUUCUGAUGUGGCAUCAUCAAGAUUCACAUGCAAAAGCAGUCAUGCUAAUCUGCUUUGGAAGGUGAGAAUCUUGAUGAUGCUGCAUCGGCAAUAAACGACUACAAAUCAAGCUUCCCCACUUUCCAACUGCUUUUUAUUUUUAUUUUUCUCUCUCUCUCUCUCUCGACAUGAUUGACUGCUGAUUGAACUUCACUCUGCAGAUGAUACAUUUGUGAUUAUUCUUCUGCUCCACCCAGAAUAACCGCAACUCCUUUUCUUCACUCCAACUUGUGUUCUAAUUUAAUCUAAUUUUCUGAAUUUCAGCACAAUUAUGACAUCAAUCCAAAGACCCGGUCUUUGCGCAACAAGUUGAAAUUAGAGAUAAUCAGAUGAUUGAAGCUAGUUAGGAGAAGGAAGAAUGUAUGAUCACAACUUAUAUGUCUCACUCUUAUUAUUUGGAUGAGAACUAAAAUUUUAGUUUCCUUCUCUCGAGGUAGAGAUCCUCUCAAUUAGUAUACGAGUUUACUCCAAUUGAUUGAUUGAAUUAACAAAGUUCAACAUAUAUAGUAUAUGAAAAAUACUAACCCUAAUUAAUCAGCACAUCUUCUUUCAAUCUCUCAGCAUAUGCAAGAAGAAAGUUUGUUAGCCGUUGCUCGUUAAUAUCCUAAUUCCUAAUGUAUAUUUGUAUGUAUAUGUACAUUACUCCCUCCGUCUUAUUCUUAUUUGCUAUGCCUCAUUUUCUUUGGAGUUGUCUCGUUUCAUUUAAGAAGUAAUGACUUUUAAUUUUAUGUAAUUCCCUUUUACAUUCUCUUUUCUCAUGGUCAUCCAUUAGCCAGUACACUGUAUAAUGUAUUAAACUUUAUUCUUAAGAUAUUUGUACCUAGAAAAAAUGAUCUACUUCACAUUGGAAGUAUAUUUUAAGAUAUGUUCUUAUGUAUACUUACCAUUCUGAUUAAAUAAGACAUUAUGAAAAUAUUAUGUCUUCAUUAAUAGUAAUAAAUUAAAAACACAUAAUUUUUAAAGGGUAAUAGGGCGGAGAGUAUAGCAAUAAACCAGUGGUGUCGCACCUUCAACCAAGCCACAGUAUUUAGUGUUUGAAGGGUUUCCUUAUUUUUUUUAGGAAGAUGUUUAGUGUGUCUUGGAGUAUUAAUGUCUUUUGCUUGACUAAACAUUGUUGUAGCCUAGUAGAUUGCCCAAUUGGGUUCAGAUCAUAUGGCCGGUGCCUCAAUAGUGUCUUCGGCCCCUACCUCGUUGUAGCCAUCAACAAUCUUUCCGCAGAACGCUGUUGCCUUUUGAGAAUUGAACAACCGAUUUUUCACAAAUGUCGACGUAACACUCAAAAAUCCUUUUGGUACUCAUGCAAGCUUAAGUUUUUUGGAGUUGGAUGCGCUCGAUGCCUUUGGGGAGUUGCAAUGAACCAAUUUUCGGAGAGUAGUUGUGCUCAGACUGGUGAGUUGAAUGGAUCAGUGUUGAGCUUCUAUGGGUAGACUGCAAGACUUUAAAGACAAGUUUCAAGGUGUUGUAUAUAUUCACUUGAAUAAAUGAGAAAUGAAUGUGUGGAGUGGAUAUUAAUACAAUGCCACUCCAGUAGUUUUUUACCA